rnacentral:rRNA from 1 species
AUGCCGACUUGGAGGUUGUGCCCUUGAGGCGUGGCUUCCGGAGCUAACGCGUUAAGUCGACCGCCUGGGGAGUACGGCCGCAAGGUUAAAACUCAAAUGAAUUGACGGGGGCCCGCACAAGCGGUGGAGCAUGUGGUUUAAUUCGAUGCAACGCGAAGAACCUUACCUGGUCUUGACAUCCACAGAACUUUCCAGAGAUGGAUUGGUGCCUUCGGGAACUGUGAGACAGGUGCUGCAUGGCUGUCGUCAGCUCGUGUUGUGAAAUGUUGGGUUAAGUCCCGCAACGAGCGCAACCCUUAUCCUUUGUUGCCAGCGGUCCGGCCGGGAACUCAAAGGAGACUGCCAGUGAUAAACUGGAGGAAGGUGGGGAUGACGUCAAGUCAUCAUGGCCCUUACGACCAGGGCUACACACGUGCUACAAUGGCGCAUACAAAGAGAAGCGACCUCGCGAGAGCAAGCGGACCUCAUAAAGUGCGUCGUAGUCCGGAUUGGAGUCUGCAACUCGACUCCAUGAAGUCGGAAUCGCUAGUAAUCGUGGAUCAGAAUGCCACGGUGAAUACGUUCCCGGGCCUUGUACACACCGCCCGUC